AAAUUAAGAAAGAAUGUAACAUUUACUUUAUCACAAAGGUGAUCUUCCCAGGGGAAGGCUUAUCCAUUGCACUCCAGAUGUGCUGAUCCCUGCAAUUUCCCCAAAUGGGGGGAACUUGAAUGCAUUAUUGUGACUC
ensembl:snRNA U1 U1 spliceosomal RNA